rnacentral:rRNA from 1 species
GACGAACCGUGCGAACGUUAUUCGGAAUCACUGGGCUUAAAGGGCGCGUAGGCGGGCCGAAAAGCCAGGGGUGAAAUCCUCCAGCCCAACUGGAGAAGCGCCUUUGGAACUGGCGGCCUCGAGGGGUGCAGGGGCAUGCGGAACUCAGGGUGGAGCGGUGAAAUGCGUAGAUAUCAGGAGGAACACCGGUGGCGAAAGCGCUCAUCUGGCCCAAUACUGACGCUGAGGCGCGAAAGCUAGGGGAGCAAACGGG